rnacentral:lncRNA from 1 species
GUUACCGUAGAAAUCCUACUGUUAGAGUAGCUCGGACAUUGAUGAAGUUUGGAAGAAGUUCGGAGUAAAAUCAUUCGUGGCUGGAAGAAGUCUGGAAGAGAUUCGGAGAAUGGUCGAUCAUUGUAGAAAACCAGCUGAUCAUGAAGCCCAAAGAGCAUUUGGAGUAGUUCAGUAGAUGAAUGGGAGAGGUCAUUAUCGGAGAAGUCCAGAUGGUAUUAUGGAAGCUCAGAUGGUCGAGGGAGUUCAGAAAGAUGCCAU